rnacentral:lncRNA from 1 species
CAGGGAACUACUGUAGAUGGCUGUCAAUUUCUCCAUAAUGUUUUAUGUACAUUUUGUGGCCUCUUCUCCAUGCCAUGUACAACGCAUAUGUGAACACUGCAGUAGCAAACAGCUUAUAAGAUUAAUUCAUCUGGAGGAAGUUCUACAAAAGAUGACCAGUCAGUGUGACUACUAGAGGAGGACAAUCCUUUCAGGAUUCAUCUUCUGUGUCCAAUUUAAAGAGGGUUUCUCAGUCUGAGUCUGUAAGUGGAAGACAGGAUAUCAUUCACAUAAACCUUUAAAAAAACUUUCUAAGCCUUAAAUCAAAAGAAGAAUUUUAAAUUUUUAUAUUUUUCAGAGAAGUAACUAAAACCUCUCCAGGCAUAAUUUAUGCUGUUGACA